CUCUCACUGCUGUGGCUGAUGGAGGAGAAGCAUGUCUCUGUAUCAUGCUCCCUCGCAGCUCCAGUACAGAGACAUGCUCCUCUUCCAUCAGCCACAGCAGUGACAGGAG